AUGGCUGCCGGCAAGCGACCAGCUGCCGGCCACGGGACGGAUCAAGAACCAGAAAUCUCCUGCUGCAAGAGGAGGCGCGUCCGCAUCGGCAGCACCGCGGCCUUCGAGUUCGAUGACACGCCCUGCCUCGGCGAGGGCAGCUUCGGCGCCGUCCUCAAGGCGCGCCACCGCGUCACGGGCAAGACCGUCGCCAUCAAGGUCCUCCGCUGCAGCGGCGAUCUUGUCACCGCCAACAAAGAGAUCCAGGACGAGGCCGGCUUCCUCGAGGCCUGCACCCCGAACACUUACGUCGUCGGCUCCCACGGACUCUUCCGCGACCCUGAGACCUACAACCUCUGCCUCGCCAUGGACUACGUCGGGCCCAACCUCCACGCUUUCUUGUCCGAGAGGCCGCCGCUACCGGAGGCCAUCGUGAAAGCCUACAUGUGGCAGCUCCUCACCGGCGCCAACAAGAUGCACAACCACCGCAUCCUCCACCGCGACAUCAAGCCCCACAACAUCCUGGUCGGGGAAGGAGGAAAGAUCCUAAAGCUCUGCGACCUCGGGCUGGCCAUGUCCUUGAAGAACGCGAGGAAGCCGUACGAGUUCGCCGGUACCAUGCCCUACAUGGCCCCCGAGAUGCUCCUGGGGAGGCCGGACUACGACGCGGGCGUCGACGUGUGGUCGCUGGGAUGCGUCAUGGCCGAGAUGCUGACCGGCAGGAUGCUGUUCAAGGCCGACAAGAAGGACGACAGGGCCGCCCAGCUCUCGGCCAUCUUCCGCGUUCUUGGCUUCCCGGACGAGAGCACGUGGCCGGACUUCGUCGCGGCCGAGGUGCCGCGAGUGUUCUUCUCCGCGCAGGCGCAGCAGCACAACACAAACACGCUGGGAAACCUCUUCCCCCGGGAGACCUUGUCCCAGGACGGCUUCCAAGUCUUGAAAGGGCUUCUCGAGUGCAACCCAGCUAGGCGGCUGACGACGGCCGCCGCGCUCCAGCUCCCGUGGUUCGAGCCCAAGCUCCCUACCCCCACCGACGACGUGUCAAAGUCGUUGCCGCCAGUAAGGAACGUUAUGCGGAUCAAGAUCGUGUCGGCGGGGACACUCAAGAAGAAGACUGUGCUGCGGAUCAAGUUCACUCCGCCGGCGACACCCAAGAAGAACCUUGGGCGUAUCAAGAUCAUCCCACCGGCGACGCCAGGAACGAAGGAGAACCUGCUGCAGCGGAUCAAGGUCAUCCCACCGGCAACACCACAGAUGAAGAACGUGCUCAGAAUACCACUAGCGAUGUGGAACAAGGCCAUGUAG
rnacentral:rRNA from 1 species